rnacentral:lncRNA from 1 species
UUAAAUCAACCUUAUCAUCAACAUUAUCUAAAUCUUCACUAGAUAGAGUCAUAAAAUGGCCAUCUUCACUAAACAUAGAAGGCACCUUAUCAUUCCUUUCAAAUCCUUCUCGAUCAAGCUCCCCACUUUCAAGGCUCGAAUUGUUUCCAUCUGAUUCAACUAUGGGAACCUCUUCUAUCAUCUUAGAAGUAAUUGAUGACGAAGCGGAUGAUGACACGUAUAUGACGUACAAUUAUUACAUUUUAUAUGUUAGGUAG